GUUUAAAAGCAGAGAGUCGAGGAUCAACAAUUGUCAGAAAACGAUAUGAAACCUACAAUGAACCAGCCAGACUCCAAAUGUGUCUUGCUCCAGGCAAUAUUUGUGGCUGCGUUUAGUGCUCUAUGUGUAGUAACAUGCCCAGAGAAACAUUUCCAACUUCACGAAUCGCUGUGCUGCUUGAACUGCCCAGAAGGUAUGUAUGUUGCCCAGAACUGCUCUGGAGGACCCAUGAACUACGUUGGUGUGCUAUGUAAUCCAUGCCGCAGAUGUGAAGAACUUGGAGAGAUAACUGUGUCCCAGUGCACGCAGUUUUCAGACACACGGUGUGCCAGGAAACAGAUAACCUCGUAUGGUUCCUCAUCUGUGAUAGCCGCUGUUUUCAUGCUGGCUGUGAUUGUGGCAGCCUGCUUCUUUUGCAGAAUCAGUAAACCUGGUGAAUCUGAUGAAAGCUCUGCAGGAGAACCAUUCCACAUUUCCGUAUAAAAGAUGCAGAGACAGUCUGAAGAAAAUCUUAACUCAGGAAAAAGGCCAACAUCAAGUAUUGUAUAUUAUCAUUCAAUGAUUCAAUAACAUUAGGAAUACUGCAAUACCAAGCUUUUUUAUAUAUAUACAUUGAUGUAUUAUUUUAUUCAUUUUAAUUUAAUUUAAUUUUCUUUUUAGAAAAAAGUUCACAGGACCAAUUCUCACUGCUAACUAACUUUUUAAGUCGAUUCACCUUUAUUUAUAAAGUGCUUUAAACAAUACAGAUUGUGCCAAAGCAGCUUUACAGUGUUAAACAUGAACAUAGUGUGUCAAUAAUUCAAUCAAACCGCAAUUCUGUUGUAAAGCAGCUUUACAGUAGUAAACAAUAGUAAACUAUUAACUAUUGUGUCUUUUGCCUUUUUAGUUUGUAAGGUAUUUGUUAAGUUUAUGUAUAGGGUAGAAUUAAGGGAUCUAAAAUGUGGGCAUGCAGAGUGGUAUUAAUGUGCUUUAAGUACUAAUAAACAACAGAUAUGCAUGCUAUGCUUGCUGAUAAACAACUAUUUAAUAGUGAGAAUUGGUCCUUGAUAUAUGCAUAUGCUGCAUUUUUUUAUUUUUUUUAUUUAAAAAAAAAAGAAAGAAAAUAACUAUUUGAAAUUUCUAAAUCCUUAUAGUAUCUAUAGUAUCUAUAGUAUUUUUGUAUCAGAUAUUUGUAAUUUGAUAAAUUUACUUUAAAAACAAACACCGAUACACCUACAUAGCACUCUAAAUGUAAAUUUUAUGUUUACUAAUUUUAUGUUGGGAAUUGCACCUUGUAUUAAUUAUGUUGUUACGAAAUUGAUAAUGUUUCACCAUACUGUCUUAUGUUUGAUUUGAAAUUUUAACACAAGUUACUAUGAAUCUACAAUGAUUUAGCCCAACAUUUUAACAAUACAAAAGGAACUCUAAUUGUGGACAUUUGUUGUGUUGAAGUUUCUGAUUAUAGAAUAUCUUAUCUAAAUUGCCUUUUAAAUGUUGAUGAAUUUGAUGACUGCCAAGACAAACAUGAAGCUUACUAUUUUAAGUCAGUCCUUGUGUGUUCAUGUGUCUAUAUUUGUGUUGUGAAUACUGUAGUUAACAGUGCUAUAGGGGUCCUUAAAUGCACAAAUGUUACAUUUUGACCAUAUAUAAAGCAUGUAAAAAAUCAUGGAGCUCGUGGAGUGCUCUGCUAAUGUUAAACCAGUGUUAACCUCCUGACUACCAGCUAUGGAGUUUUGUCCUCGGUAGAGGACAUUACGUUUUAGGGAUUUCUCUGAGACGUUACAUGUCACAGUUUUAAGAGAUACCAAAUGAUUGGAUGUUUCACCAUGACCACUCCCUCUCCUUGGUCUUUAAAAAUGGUUGACAUUAAUUUAGUGAUCAAGUGUAACACCCUUAUGGAAAUAUGAUAAUAUUUUGUAAUUAUCAUUUAAAUCUGACUAAUUUUCAAAUUGUUUGUCAUAAAUCAACAUCUCAGGAAAAUGUUAUGGGGUUUCAAAUCAAAAUAGGACCUUCUGUUAUGAAACAGGACAUCAGUUUCAUACAUGUCCACUAUAGAGGACACCAGGACUUAAAUCAUGUUUAUUACACAUUUUGGGAGACACAACAAAUGAAUAGAGAAAAAAUUAUGUAUCAAUAUUCCUAUUAAAUGUUAGAUAUUAUUAUGAAAAUCUUGCUAAUUAUUACUCCCAUUAUUGCACUUAUUUGUUCAUUCUAUGUUGCCCCAAA
rnacentral:lncRNA from 1 species